AACGUAGGAGACAAACGUUAUCCGGAGUUACUGGGCGUAAAGGGCGUGUAGGCGGUUUGUUAAGUCUGGCGUGAAAGCUCUCGGCUAAACCGGGAGAGGUCGUUGGAUACUGGCGAACUAGAGGAUGGUAGAGGCGUGUGGAAUUCCGGGUGUAGUGGUGAAAUGCGUAGAUAUCUGGAGGAACACCGGUGGCGAAGGCGGCUUUCUGGACAAAUACCGACGCUGAGGCACGAAAGCUAGGGGAGCAAACAGG
rnacentral:rRNA from 1 species